rnacentral:rRNA from 1 species
UACGGAGGGGGCUAGCGUUGUUCGGAAUUACUGGGCGUAAAGCGCACGUAGGCGGCUUUGUAAGUUAGAGGUGAAAGCCCGGAGCUUAACUCCGGAACUGCCUUUAAGACUGCAUCGCUUGAAUCAUGGAGAGGUUAGUGGAAUUCCGAGUGUAGAGGUGAAAUUCGUAGAUAUUCGGAAGAACACCAGUGGCGAAGGCGACUAACUGGACAUGUAUUGACGCUGAGGUGCGAAAGCAUGGGGAGCGAACAGG